CUUCCAGGAGUUGUUUGUUGAGAUGAUUGCCAAAGAUUCCCUGGUGUACGCCCAGCAGGGGAAGCGGAAAACUUUGCAAAGAAAAGACCUGGACAACGCAAUAGAGGCCAUAGAUGAAUUUGCAUUUCUUGAAGGCACACUCGAUUAAACGCUGCUUCAGAAGACGAGAACAUUGAAUAUCCACAACCAUCCAAGAAAUAUUGUAUUACAGGGACACAAUUUGUUUGUUUUGAACAUCCUUCUACUAUACUUUUUUAAGUCAAACUCUCAAAUUGGAUAUUUAUAAAUGCUUUUCUACAAUGUGCCAUUAAGAUUUUUCAUACUUAACUUUGAGGAAUUCAGUGGGAAUGUGUACAUUUUUUGUAAAUAUUUGUGAAAUACUACUGUACAAUUGAAUAAAUGUAAGUUUUAAACAA